GAUCAUAGAAUCGUAGAAUGGCUUGGGUUGAUACAGCAGGAGGAAGAGAUGCCAUCCAGGGGGACCUUGAUGAACUCAAAAGGUGGGCCUUUGUGAACCUAGUGGGCUUCAACAAAGUGCAAGGUUUUGUGGUUGGAUUGAGAUAAUCCCAGAUACAUAUACAAGCUGGGAGCAGAUUUCCUUGAGAGUAGCCCUACUGGGAAAGACUUAAGGGUUGUGGCUGAUUUAAAAAAAAAAAAAAAAAAAAAAAAAACUUAGCAUGAGCCAACAGUGUGCUUGCAGCCCAGAAAGGCAGUGGUAUCUUGGGCUCCAUCAGAAGCGUGGUGGCCAGCAGGGCGAGGGAGGUGGUGAGGUGCUGGAGAAGGUUGCCUGAAGAGUCUGUGGAUGCCCCAUCUCUGGAGGUGUUUGAGGCCAGGUUGGAUGGGGCCCUGGGUGAUCUGAUCUAAUACUUGAUCUAGUGGCCAGCAGUCCUGCCUGUGGCAGGGGGCUUGGAACUUGGUGAUCCUUGGGUUUGCUUCCAACCCAAGUUUUUCUAUGAUACUGGC
rnacentral:lncRNA from 1 species